rnacentral:ribozyme from 11 species
UAGAUAAAGAAAGGCCGACUCUACUUUUAAUUUUUUUUUUUUUUUUUUUAAAAAUUCAUGUAAAAAAAAAAAAAAAUAAAAAAAA